AACGAACGCUGGCGGCAGGCCUAACACAUGCAAGUCGAGCGAGGACUUCGGUCCUAGCGGCGGACGGGUGAGUAACGCGUGGGAACGUGCCCUUUUCUUCGGAAUAGCUCUGGGAAACUGGGAGUAAUACCGGAUGAGCCCUUUGGGGGAAAGAUUUAUCGGCGAAGGAUCGGCCCGCGUUGGAUUAGGUAGUUGGUGGGGUAAUGGCCUACCAAGCCGACGAUCCAUAGCUGGUUUGAGAGGAUGAUCAGCCACACUGGGACUGAGACACGGCCCAAACUCCUACGGGGGGCAGCAGUGGGGAACCUUAGACAAUGGGGAAACCCUGAUCUAGCCAUGCCGCGUGAGCGAUGAAGGCCUUAGGGUUGUAAAGCUCUUUCAGCUGGGAAGAUAAUGACGGUACCAGCAGAAGAAGCCCCGGCUAACUCCGUG
rnacentral:rRNA from 1 species